CGGCGUGACUGACAGCCCCCGAACAGGGGCCGGGGGCCGCGAGGCCCGGGUUCGGAAAAAGAGCUCCGAAGACGCGCGCUUAGGUUCGGCAGGGCUAAGGUCACCGAGAGUCCUCUCGGAGCUUUUUCAUAUUUUGAAGUAACUUUUUUCCAGAUCCCCAACAUUUUCAGAGGAGCUUCAGAAACAUAAAAGCCAGUAAGUUCAUCAGCUUCUAAGGAAUCAGCUACAGAGAUGGCAGAACUGAAUGAUGCAUAAAUAAGUGGAUCUAAAAUGGAGAUUUAUCUGAGCAGGCAUUCUCACUGCUGAGAGUAAACUAAGGAAGUAUCCAGUGAAGAUUAGCCCUGAGUUAACAUCUGCUGCCAAUCCUCCUCUUUUUGCUGAGGAAGACUGGCC